rnacentral:lncRNA from 1 species
GCUUCAGAACAUGACAAACCCACUACUGAUCCAGUGCGCAUCUAGGGGGCGCAAACUGGUGACCAACGAACCAGACAGGACACAAAAAUGCCCAACCCUGGACGGACACACAAAUAUCUGUGCUGCCCACAUCCAGCCAACACAGGCAGCAGGAUAUUUCCUCCUAGUCAGACUGGUGAGUUUUUAUUU